UACGUAGGGGGCAAGCGUUGUCCGGAAUUAUUGGGCGUAAAGAGCUCGUAGGCGGUUCGGUAAGUCGGAUGUGAAAUCUCCACGCUCAACGUGGAGGGGCCAUUCGAUACUGCCGUGACUCGAGUCCGGUAGGGGAGUGUGGAAUUCCCGGUGUAGCGGUGAAAUGCGCAGAGAUCGGGAGGAACACCCGUAGCGAAGGCGGCACUCUGGGCCGGUACUGACGCUGAGGAGCGAAAGCGUGGGGAGCGAACAGG
rnacentral:rRNA from 1 species